rnacentral:hammerhead_ribozyme from 1 species
GUCCAACUGACAAGUCCCAAAUAGGACGAAACGCGCGUCAAACUGGAU